rnacentral:rRNA from 1 species
GAUGAACGCUGGCGGCGUGCCUAAUACAUGCAAGUCGAGCGAACAGAUAAGGAGCUUGCUCCUUUGAAGUUAGCGGCGGACGGGUGAGUAACACGUGGGUAACCUACCUAUAAGACUGGGAUAACUUCGGGAAACCGGAGCUAAUACCGGAUAAUAUUUAGAACCGCAUGGUUCUAAAGUGAAAGAUGGUUUUGCUAUCACUUAUAGAUGGACCCGCGCCGUAUUAGCUAGUUGGUAAGGUAACGGCUUACCAAGGCGACGAUACGUAGCCGACCUGAGAGGGUGAUCGGCCACACUGGAACUGAGACACGGUCCAGACUCCUACGGGAGGCAGCAGUAGGGAAUCUUCCGCAAUGGGCGAAAGCCUGACGGAGCAACGCCGCGUGAGUGAUGAAGGGUUUCGGCUCGUAAAACUCUGUUAUUAGGGAAGAACAAAUGUGUAAGUAACUGUGCACAUCUUGACGGUACCUAAUCAGAAAGCCACGGCUAACUACGUGCCAGCAGCCGCGGUAAUGCG